UUGCCUCGAAAGUGGCAUUGAGCCAGAGUUAUAGUAGCCAGAAGGGAACAGAGGGAAAGAGGUUUCCUUUUCCUCCCAAGUUCUUUAGUUGAGUGCCUCCAUCACUCAGUGAUUCAUAAAGACUUACUAGGAUCAUUUCGCUUAAACAAAUGCCACGUCUAGCAUGCAAUUGGUUCGCCAGAGUAAGUUACUUCUUGGCGACCUGUAGGGAUUUCGAGC
rnacentral:lncRNA from 1 species